AGUGGGGAAUAUUGGACAAUGGGCGCAAGCCUGAUCCAGCCAUGCCGCGUGAGUGAUGAAGGCCUUAGGGUUGUAAAGCUCUUUUAGCAGGGACGAUAAUGACGGUACCUGCAGAAAAAGCCCCGGCCAACUUCGUGCCAGCAGCCGCGGUAAUACGAAGGGGGCUAGCGUUGCUCGGAAUCACUGGGCGUAAAGCGCACGUAGGUGGGUCGUUAAGUCGGGGGUGAAAUCCCAGAGCUCAACUCUGGAACUGCCUUCGAUACUGGCGACCUUCGAGUUCGGGAGAGGUGAGUGGAACUGCGAGUGUAGAGGUGAAAUUCGUAGAUAUUCGCAAGAACACCAGUGGCGAAGGCGGCUCACUGGCCCGAUACUGACACUGAGGUGCGAAAGCGUGGGGAGCAAA
rnacentral:rRNA from 1 species